rnacentral:lncRNA from 1 species
AACAUCACUUACUGUUUCAUCUCACUCUCCUCCGAACUAUGUACUGAUAUUAGCAUCAUCCCAUAAUGCAGGUGACAGUACGAAGACUCACAGUAGUGGGGAAGUCCUGUCCUCAAGUCCAUGCAGCUCAGGAGUGGGAGAACUUGGAUCUGAGUGAGCCCUGAUUGUCGCCUUGAGGACCACUGUAUUUUCAGAGCCUUGCCUUGCUUCUCAGAGGUGAGAGCCACCUCCAUUUCAACACGGCCAUUGCUGGAGCUGAGGCAGCCUCCUAGCGCCCCAAGCAGGACAGAUGCUCUUUGGCUCCUUUGGGUUGGGAGCACAGAUAUCAACUGGACAUGAAGGGCUGGGACAGGAGAGAGCCUAUGUGGAGAGGAGGUUCUUCCAGGAGGUGAUGGGAAAAUCUGAAGCCCAGGAAGGGAAAGAAGGAUACCCAAUGACACAGUUUGAUGUUAUUAAAAAGAAGAACAGAUUUUGGUGAAAGGUUCUCAGAACGUCGCUCCAUGUAAGGAAUGGAAUGGGAUUACCUGCUCGUCUCCUGUCAAGCUUGGGGUAGCACUGCCUCUCUCAGGAUGGCUUCCUUCUUGAGAGGUUGAAGAACCCUUCCCAAGACUGGGCCAUCUUGCUCUGAGGUAGACAUCUCUUACCUUUGUUCCCAAGAACACCUUCCUUCUUAUUUAUUUUCUAUGUCCAAAGAAUAUGGCAGAAAUAUCUACAGUGUCUCAAGCUCUCCUUGCUGUUCUUUCACAGCCACAGUGAUUAAAGAAAAUGAGGAGGACAGGGAUUAUUUUAAGAGACCUGAAAAGUCCUGGCUGACAGCUCCCCUGGUAAUCUAACAUGGUGCCUAAAAUUCCACUGUCAGUGAGCAUCUUCUUCAGGUUAAUCACAGUUCUCUUCAAAUGCAAAUGAGGCUAGAAUGGGCAUUGUACAUUAAUCCCCACCUACAUAUCAACUUUGUUUUUGUUCCUAGCACAGAGAAAUCACACAGGCUAAAAGUUAGAUACCUGGGAGUGGCAGAAAGAGCACAGACUUCAAAACCAGAAAGAUUCACCUUCGAGUCUUGGCUCUGCCACUUACCAGCAGUCUGACCUUGAAUGAACCUCAGCUUCCCCAUUGUAAAUGGGGGCUCAAGAAUACCUCCCUUGCAACACUAUUUGAAGAUGAAAAGUGACAGAAGUGAAGGACCUAGUGCACUGCUUGGCCCAUAGUAAGUGCUCAAAAAGUUCCCUUCCUUUUCUUACUUUUGAGCUUUGUGUCAGGCUCCAUCCUGUC